AGAGUUUGAUCCUGGCUCAGGAUGAACGCUAGCGGCAGGCUUAACACAUGCAAGUCGAGGGGCAGCAUAAUGGAUAGCAAUAUCUAUGGUGGCGACCGGCGCACGGGUGCGUAACGCGUAUGCAACCUACCUUUAACAGGGGGAUAACACUGAGAAAUUGGUACUAAUACCCCAUAAUAUCAUAGAAGGCAUCUUUUAUGGUUGAAAAUUCCGAUGGUUAGAGAUGGGCAUGCGUUGUAUUAGCUAGUUGGUGGGGUAACGGCUCACCAAGGCGACGAUACAUAGGGGGACUGAGAGGUUAACCCCCCACACUGGUACUGAGACACGGACCAGACUCCUACGGGAGGCAGCAGUGAGGAAUAUUGGUCAAUGGACGCAAGUCUGAACCAGCCAUGCCGCGUGCAGGAAGACGGCUCUAUGAGUUGUAAACUGCUUUUGUACGAGGGUAAACGCAGAUACGUGUAUCUGCCUGAAAGUAUCGUACGAAUAAGGAUCGGCUAACUCCGUGCCAGCAGCCGCGGUAAUACGGAGGAUCCAAGCGUUAUCCGGAUUUAUUGGGUUUAAAGGGUGCGUAGGCGGUUUGAUAAGUUAGAGGUGAAAUACCGGUGCUUAACACCGGAACUGCCUCUAAUACUGUUGAACUAGAGAGUAGUUGCGGUAGGCGGAAUGUAUGGUGUAGCGGUGAAAUGCUUAGAGAUCAUACAGAACACCGAUUGCGAAGGCAGCUUACCAAACUAUAUCUGACGUUGAGGCACGAAAGCGUGGGGAGCAAACAGGAUUAGAUACCCUGGUAGUCCACGCAGUAAACGAUGAUAACUCGUUGUCGGCGAUACACAGUCGGUGACUAAGCGAAAGCGAUAAGUUAUCCACCUGGGGAGUACGUUCGCAAGAAUGAAACUCAAAGGAAUUGACGGGGGCCCGCACAAGCGGAGGAACAUGUG
rnacentral:rRNA from 1 species